rnacentral:rRNA from 1 species
UACGAAGGGGGCUAGCGUUGCUCGGAAUCACUGGGCGUAAAGCGCACGUAGGCGGCUUUCUAAGUCAGGGGUGAAAUCCUGGAGCUCAACUCCAGAACUGCCUUUGAUACUGGGGAACUCGAGUCCGGAAGAGGUGAGUGGAACUCCGAGUGUAGAGGUGAAAUUCGUAGAUAUUCGGAAGAACACCAGUGGCGAAGGCGGCUCACUGGUCCGGUACUGACGCUGAGGUGCGAAAGCGUGGGGAGCAAACAGG